rnacentral:rRNA from 1 species
AACGAACGCUGGCGGCAUGCCUAACACAUGCAAGUCGAACGAGACCUCCGGGUCAAGUUGCGCACGCGUGCGGAACGCGACGGAACCUGCCCUAAGGCAUGGAAUAAUACUCCGAAAGGGGUGCUAAUACCGGAUAAUGUCCUCUGAUCACACAUUUGUCCCCUUUGGAUAGGCCCGAGCUGGAUUAGCUAGUUGCUAGGGUAAAAGCCUACGAAGGGGACGAUCCAUAGCUGGUCUGAGAGGAAGAUCCGCCACACUGCGAGUGAGAAACGGACGGGACUACUGCGUGAGGCAGCAAUGCGGGAUAUUGGCCUAUGGGCGCUGGGCUGAUCCAGCUAUGCCGCGUGAGUGCUGUAGGCGUUAAGGUUGUAAAGCUCUUUUAUACGGUGUGGUAAUGACAGUACCGGGAGAAUAAGCUCCGGCUAACUCCGUG